UACGUAGGUCCCGAGUGUUGUCCGGAUUUAUUGGGCGUAAAGCGAGCGCAGGUGGUUUAUUAAGUCUGGUGUAAAAGGCAGUGGCUCAACCAUUGUAUGCAUUGGAAACUGGUAGACUUGAGUGCAGGAGAGGAGAGUGGAAUUCCUAGUGUAGCGGUGAAAUGCGUAGAUAUUAGGAGGAACACCAGUUGCGAAGGCGGCUCUCUGGACUGUAACUGACACUGAGGCACGAAAGCGUGGGGAGCAAACAGG
rnacentral:rRNA from 1 species